rnacentral:rRNA from 1 species
ACGAACGCUGGCGGCGUGCUUAACACCUGCCAGUCGAACGGAAAGGCCCUGCUUUUGUGGGGUGCUCGGGUGGCGAACGGGUGAGUAACACGUGAGUAACCUGCCCUUGACUUUGGGAUAACUUCAGGAAACUGGGGCUAAUACCGGAUAGGAGCUCCUGCUGCAUGGUGGGGGUUGGAAAGUUUCGGCGGUUGGGGAUGGACUCGCGGCUUAUCAGCUUGUUGGUGGGGUAGUGGCUUACCAAGGCUUUGACGGGUAGCCGGCCUGAGAGGGUGACCGGCCACAUUGGGACUGAGAUACGGCCCAGACUCCUACGGGAGGCAGCAGUGGGGAAUAUUGCACAAUGGGCGGAAGCCUGAUGCAGCAACGCCGCGUGCGGGAUGACGGCCUUCGGGUUGUAAACCGCUUUCGCCUGUGACGAAGCGUGAGUGACGGUAAUGGGUAAAGAAGCACCGGCUAACUACGUG